rnacentral:rRNA from 1 species
GACGUAGGGUCCAAGCGUUGUCCGGAUUUACUGGGCGUAAAGAGCGCGUAGGCGGUCUAUUAAGUGUGAAGUGAAAUCUCCAGGGCUCAACCCGGAAACUGCUUCGCAUACUGAUAGACUUGAGGAAUGCAGAGGUUUGUGGAAUUCCUGGUGUAGCGGUGAAAUGCGUUGAUAUCCUAAGGAACACCGGUGGCGAAAGCGGCUCACUGGAUCUUUUCUGACGCUGAGGCACGAAAGCUAGGGUAGCGAACGGG